rnacentral:rRNA from 1 species
AUACGGAGGAUCCGAGCGUUAUCCGGAUUUAUUGGGUUUAAAGGGAGCGUAGGUGGACAGUUAAGUCAGUUGUGAAAGUUUGCGGCUCAACCGUAAAAUUGCAGUUGAUACUGGCUGUCUUGAGUACAGUAGAGGUGGGCGGAAUUCGUGGUGUAGCGGUGAAAUGCUUAGAUAUCACGAAGAACUCCGAUUGCGAAGGCAGCUGGCUGGACUGCGACUGACACUGGUGCUCGAAAGUGUGGGGAUCAAACAGGAUGAGAUGCGCUGGUAGUCCACACAGUAAUCGGUGAAUACUCGCUGUUUGCGAUAUACAGUAAGCGGCCAAGCGAAAGCAUUAAGUAUUCCACCUGGGGAGUCCGCCGGCAACGGUGAAACUCAAAGGAAUUGACGGGG